rnacentral:rRNA from 1 species
GACGAACGCUGGCGGCGUGCUUAACACAUGCAAGUCGAACGGAAAGGCCCUGCUUUUGUGGGGUGCUCGAGUGGCGAACGGGUGAGUAACACGUGAGUAACCUGCCCUUGACUUUGGGAUAACUUCAGGAAACUGGGGCUAAUACCGGAUAGGAGCUCCUGCUGCAUGGUGGGGGUUGGAAAGUUUCGGCGGGUGGGGAUGGACUCGCGGCUUAUCAGCUUGUUGGUGGGGUAGUGGCUUACCAAGGGUUUGACGGGUAGCCGGCCUGAGAGGGUGACCGGCCACAUUGGGACUGAGGUACGGCCCAGACGCCUACGGGAGGCAGCAGUGGGGAAUAUUGCACAAUGGGCGGAAGCCUGAUGCAGCAACGCCGCGUGCGGGAUGACGGCCUUCGGGUUGUAAACCGCUUUCGCCUGUGACGAAGCGUGAGUGACGGUAAUGGGUAAAGAAGCACCGGCUAACUACGUG